rnacentral:rRNA from 1 species
UGGGGGAUAUUGCACAAUGGGGGAAACCCUGAUGCAGCGACGCCGCGUGGAGGAAGAAGGUUUUCGGAUUGUAAACUCCUGUCGUUAGGGACGAAUUUUGACGGUACCUAACAAGAAAGCACCGGCUAACUACGUGCCAGCAGCCGCGGUAAAACGUAGGGUGCAAGCGUUGUCCGGAAUUACUGGGUGUAAAGGGAGCGCAGGCGGACCGGCAAGUUGGAAGUGAAAUCUAUGGGCUCAACCCAUAAAUUGCUUUCAAAACUGCUGGCCUUGAGUAGUGCAGAGGUAGGUGGAAUUCCCGGUGUAGCGGUGGAAUGCGUAGAUAUCGGGAGGAACACCAGUGGCGAAGGCGACCUACUGGGCACCAACUGACGCUGAGGCUCGAAAGCAUGGGUAGCAAACA